UAUUAAGCUCUCGGGCGAGGUUCACUGGU
rnacentral:piRNA from 1 species